GGCCUGUUGGUCAAGAGGUUAAGACGCCGCCCUCUCAAGGCGGAAUCACGGGUUCAAUUCCCGUACAGGCUG
rfam:Eubacterium sp. CAG:156 genomic scaffold, scf88